UACGUAGGGCGCAAGCGUUAUCCGGAAUUAUUGGGCGUAAAGAGCUCGUAGGCGGUUUGUCGCGUCUGCCGUGAAAGUCCGGGGCUCAACUCCGGAUCUGCGGUGGGUACGGGCAGACUAGAGUGAUGUAGGGGAGACUGGAAUUCCAGGUGUAGCGGUGAAAUGCGUAGAUAUCUGGAGGAAUACCGGUGGCGAAGGCGGCAUCCUGGACCGGCAUUGACGCUGAGGAGCGAAAGCCAGGGGAGCAAACGGG
rnacentral:rRNA from 1 species